GAGGCCACGCCACCGCCAGUAAAGCUUUCAUCCUUCAUCUCCGCCGGUGGAAACUUCCUUCGCCGGUUUAAUUUCCUCAGUUUUACAAAGACUUUGGCCGGUAAAUCUCCAUCUCUGCCGGUUGCCCUGCUUCGCCUUAACCGUGCCGUCCAACGAAUCGUUCCUAGUCUUGUUUGUUCAGCCGAUCAGACGUCCGAACCAGCGGAUAAAGUUGAGACAAUGACGAGGAAUAUUUCACUUUAGAACGGCUAAUCUCGAGGUGGGAUGUGGUUCGAGGACGAUCAAGAUGGAAGUCAGUAGACAUGUAAUGCUUAAGUAAAUGAGAG